rnacentral:rRNA from 1 species
AUUCCAGCUCCAAGAGCGUAUAUUGAAGUUGCUGCGGUUAACAAACUCGUAGUUGGAUUUCAGUCUAGGGAGGUAAACUCGCCGAAAGGUUGUACGUUGAUUUUCCUUAGACGUCGUCAGAAGCUCGUGCUGCACCUGACUGUGUGGUACGAUGUUCUGACCUUUUACCUUGAAGCAAGUAGAGUGCUUCAUGCAGGUUACCCAGCUUGAAUACAUCAGCAUGGAAUCAUGAAAUGGAUCUCGGUUUGAUUUCGUUGGUUCUGGAGCUGAGGUGAUGAUCAAUAGGAACAGGCGAAUGUAUUCGUACUUAAGACUGGGGAGUGAAAUCCGUUGAUCUCUUGAAGAUGAUCCGAGGCGAAAGCAUUUGUCAAGGAUGCUUUUCAUUG